GAUGAACGCUGGCGGCGUGCCUAAUACAUGCAAGUCGAGCGAACGGACGAGAAGCUUGCUUCUCUGACGUUAGCGGCGGACGGGUGAGUAACACGUGGAUAACCUACCUAUAAGACUGGGAUAACUUCGGGAAACCGGAGCUAAUACCGGAUAAUAUAUUGAACCGCAUGGUUCAAUAGUGAAAGACGGUUUUGCUGUCACUUAUAGAUGGAUCCGCGCUGCAUUAGCUAGUUGGUAAGGUAACGGCUUACCAAGGCAACGAUGCAUAGCCGACCUGAGAGGGUGAUCGGCCACACUGGAACUGAGACACGGUCCAGACUCCUACGGGAGGCAGCAGUAGGGAAUCUUCCGCAAUGGGCGAAAGCCUGACGGAGCAACGCCGCGUGAGUGAUGAAGGUCUUCGGAUCGUAAAACUCUGUUAUUAGGGAAGAACAAAUGUGUAAGUAACUAUGCACGUCUUGACGGUACCUAAUCAGAAAGCCACGGCUAACUACGUG
rnacentral:rRNA from 1 species